rnacentral:rRNA from 1 species
UACAGAGGGGGCAAGCGUUAUUCGGAAUUAUUGGGCGUAAAGGGCGCGUAGGCGGCUUUGCAAGUGACGGGUGAAAUCCCUCGGCUUAACCGAGGAACUGCCUGUUAAACUGCAUGGCUUGAGACCGGGAGAGGUGAGUGGAAUUCCCAGUGUAGCGGUGAAAUGCGUAGAUAUUGGGAGGAACACCAGUGGCGAAGGCGGCUCACUGGACCGGUACUGACGCUGAGGAGCGAAAGCGUGGGGAGCGAACAGG